GCGUGGCGGCGGGGGCGGGCGCAGCGCGGCGGGCCCGGGGCUCUCCCCGCCGUCAUGGCGCUGCCGCCGCGCUGAGCCGCCUCCGCCGCCAUGGCCGGGGCCAUCGCGUCCCGCAUGAGCUUCAGCUCGCUGAAGCGGAAACAGCCCAAGACGUUCACCGUGCGCAUCGCCACCAUGGACGCCGAGAUGGAGUUCAGCUGCGAGGUGAAGUGGAAAGGGAAGGACCUGUUUGAUCUGGUGUGCAGGACGCUGGGACUCCGAGAAACCUGGUUCUUCGGGCUCCAGUACACGAUCAAGGAUACGGUGGCUUGGCUCAAAAUGGACAAGAAGGUUCUGGAUCAUGAUGUUCCAACAGAGGAGCCCGUCACCUUUCACUUCCUGGCCAAAUUUUAUCCUGAGAACGCAGAGGAGGAGCUGGUCCAGGAGAUCACACAGCACUUGUUCUUCCUGCAGGUGAAGAAGCAGAUUUUGGAUGAGAAGAUCUACUGUCCUCCAGAAGCCUCUGUCCUGCUGGCCUCCUACGCCGUGCAAGCCAAGUACGGCGAUUACGAUCCCAACGUGCACAAGCGAGGCUUCUUGGCGCAAGAGGAGCUGCUUCCCAAGCGGGUAAUAAACCUGUACCAGAUGACUCCGGAGAUGUGGGAGGAGAGGAUCACGGCCUGGUACGCGGAGCACCGCGGCAGAGCCAGAGAUGAAGCAGAGAUGGAGUAUCUGAAGAUAGCUCAGGACUUGGAGAUGUACGGAGUCAACUAUUUUGCGAUUAGGAAUAAAAAGGGCACCGAACUGCUCCUUGGAGUCGACGCCUUGGGUCUUCACAUUUAUGACCCAGACAACAGGUUGACCCCGAAAAUCUCCUUCCCGUGGAACGAGAUCCGGAAUAUCUCGUACAGCGAUAAAGAGUUUACGAUUAAGCCGUUGGACAAAAAGAUUGAUGUUUUUAAAUUCAAUUCGUCAAAGCUGCGUGUGAAUAAGUUGAUUCUUCAGCUGUGUAUCGGAAACCACGACCUCUUCAUGAGGAGGAGGAAGGCAGACUCCUUGGAGGUCCAGCAGAUGAAGGCACAGGCCAGGGAAGAGAAAGCCAGGAAGCAGAUGGAACGGCAGCGCCUGGCCCGAGAGAAGCAAAUGAGAGAAGAGGCUGAGAGGACGAGGGAUGAGCUGGAGAGGAGGUUGAUGCAGUUAAAGGAAGAGGCAACGAUGGCCAACGAGGCUCUGAUGAGGUCUGAAGAGACAGCAGACUUGCUGGCUGAGAAGGCUCAGAUCACGGAGGAGGAGGCCAAGCUCCUGGCUCAGAAAGCGGCCGAGGCCGAACAGGAGAUGCAGCGAAUCAAAGCCACGGCCAUCCGGACGGAGGAGGAGAAGCGGCUGAUGGAACAGAAGGUGCUAGAGGCAGAGAUGUUGGCACUGAAAAUGGCGGAGGAGUCGGAGAGGAGGGCGAAGGAAGCUGAUCAGCUAAAGCAAGACCUGCAGGAGGCUCGCGAGUCUGAGCGGAGAGCAAAGCAGAAGCUUUUGGAGAUCACCAGCAAGUCGUCUUACACACAGUCCAUGAACUCGAGUACGACGGCGCUGCCGACCGACCUGCCCAGCUUCAACCUCAUCAGCGAGAGCCUGUCCUUCGACUUCAAGGAUACGGACAUGAAGAGGCUUUCCAUGGAAAUCGAGAAAGAGAAGGUGGAGUACAUGGAGAAAAGCAAACACCUGCAGGAGCAGUUGAACGAGCUGAAGACGGAGAUUGAGGCGCUGAAGCUCAAGGAGAGAGAGACGGCGCUGGAUAUAUUGCACAAUGAGAACGCCAGCCGGGGCAACAGCAAGCACAACACUAUUAAAAAGGUGGUGAAAUAUGUCGGGUGCCGAGCGCCAGGGAGCAGCAGGACGUGGCCCUCUUGGAAAUGCAGCGCUCACCCCUCUCUGUGACACCCGGUCUCAUCCAGACCCAUCCUUGCUCUCGCUCCCCGUGCCCCCGCAGCUGGGCUGCGCUUCUCGUGCUUCGCUUUCCCUGGAUAGGUAAAAAAAAGCAGCAUUGAGCAUCUCAGGAGCCUUUGAAGGUCACGGAUGAAAGCCCCGCUCACCCUCCAGAGCACCAAGUCCCGCGUCGCCUUCUUCGAGGAGCUCUAGGAUGCGCUGGCCGCCCCGCACGCUGCUCCGGAGCUGCUCCCCGGGACCGGGGUGCCCCAACCAGGGUGGGGGGGCCGGGCAUCGCCCCCGGUCCCCUGCCAGCCUCCAUAUGCCGAUGGACUCGGGCCCCGCUGCCCACGGACUGUGUGAUGUUCUCUAGAUUAGUGUCCCCUCAUCCUCCUCCCUGCCCUUUUUUUCCAGCCUUCUUCUUAUUUUUCUAGUGUAGUUUUUUGGCUCAGCCCUCUGGUUAUUCCCCUGGUGCCGGGGUGGGGGCUGCAGCCGUGCCCCCCAGCCUGGCAGCCGGUGGAGCAGUGUGCCGGGGGUGUCCCUGGGCAGGGAUGCUGUGCCCCCCAGGGAGCAUGGGGCUGUCCCCAGAGCAUCUUCUGGGGGAGUGUGGUAAAUCACAGGGACCUCGGGCUGUGGGAUUGGAGCUGCUGCUUCUCUGGGGAGAGGAGGUGGGGGGAGGACUCACAGAAUAACGGCUUGUGCCGAAGGGCCCUUCCCAGCCCCCCAGUGCCCCCCCUGCCAUGAGCAGGGACAUCUUCACCAGCUCAGAUUGCUCAGAGCCCCGUCCAGCCUGGCCUGGGAUGUCUCCAGGGAUGGUUCAUCCACCACCUCUCUGGGCAAGGAAGGUUUCUUCUUCCUCUUCUUUCUCCUCCUCCUCUAUGCAGGGACGAGGAGCAGAACAGCUAGUGCCAACCAAAUGAAACCUUUGCUUUUCUUCAUUUGCCUGCAAACUGUGACAAACCUGGGCAGCUUGAGGCCAGGGGGGCUCUGGGCUGGGCUUUCACUGGGUGCCUAGGUCUGGCACCCCUGAAUGUGCUGUGGGGCCACCCCAGCUCCUCCAAGCCCCCCGGGGGUGCUGCUGUCCCCGGGUGAGCCAUCCUGCUCCUGCCUGCCGUACGCGGGUGCCUUUGCUCCAGCUCUGACCCCCCUGGGGGACGGUGAUGCCCUGACCUUUCCUUUGUGUCCCAAAUCCCUCGCUCGGGGGAAAACCUCCCUCCUAGCUGAGAUUUACCAUUUAAUGGAGCCGGUGCUGCCCGGGCAUCCCCCGCAGCCUCUCGGGACCCCCAGUGCCCCCUCCCGCCCCAUCCCCGGACCCACAGCCACCCCGGCGGCUCAGCCCAGGGCUCGGUGUGUUGGAAAUCGUGUCCUGAACCCUUUCUAUUUAAAACCGCGCUGCCUCGGAUCGACUCCCCGCGCGUGGCUGCGAUUCGGCGGCCGCGGCCCGGCACAGCUGCUUCCCCAUCCCCCCGGACCGUUGGAAGAAAUCACCGUUUUCUCCUUUGUUUUAAUAAAAAUUCAAAGCACUAGGAGGGGGA